rnacentral:rRNA from 1 species
GACGAACGCUGGCGGCGUGCCUAAUACAUGCAAGUAGAACGCUGAAGGAGGAGCUUGCUUCUCUGGAUGAGUUGCGAACGGGUGAGUAACGCGUAGGUAACCUGCCUGGUAGCGGGGGAUAACUAUUGGAAACGAUAGCUAAUACCGCAUAAGAGUAGAUGUUGCAUGACAUUUGCUUAAAAGGUGCAAUUGCAUCACUACCAGAUGGACCUGCGUUGUAUUAGCUAGUUGGUGGGGUAACGGCUCACCAAGGCGACGAUACAUAGCCGACCUGAGAGGGUGAUCGGCCACACUGGGACUGAGACACGGCCCAGACUCCUACGGGAGGCAGCAGUAGGGAAUCUUCGGCAAUGGACGGAAGUCUGACCGAGCAACGCCGCGUGAGCGAAGAAGGUUUUCGGAUCGUAAAGCUCUGUUGUAAGAGAAGAACGAGUGUGAGAGUGGAAAGUUCACACUGUGACGGUAUCUUACCAGAAAGGGACGGCUAACUACGUG